GUAGGGAAUAUUGCGCAAUGGACGAAAGUCUGACGCAGCGACGCCGCGUGAGUGAUGAAGGCCUUAGGGUCGUAAAGCUCUGUUGAAUGGGAAGAAAAAAAUGACGGUACCAUUCGAGGAAGGACCGGCUAACUUCGUGCCAGCAGCCGCGGUAAUACGAGGGGUCCUAGCGUUGUUCGGAAUCAUUGGGCGUAAAGGGCGUGUAGGUGGCCAUGUAAGUCAGGUGUGAAAGCCCCGGGCUCAACCCGGGAAGUGCACUUGAUACUGCGUGGCUUGAGUACCGAAGAGGGUAGUGGAAGUCCAGGUGUAGUGGUGAAAUACGGAGAUAUCUGGAGGAACACCGGUGGCGAAGGCGGCUACCUGGUCGAGUACUGACACUGAGACACGAAAGCAUGGGGAUCAAACAGGAUUAGAAACCCUGGUAGUCC
rnacentral:rRNA from 1 species